rnacentral:rRNA from 1 species
CCUACGGGUGGCAGCAGUGGGGAAUAUUGCACAAUGGGGGAAACCCUGAUGCAGCGACGCCGCGUGAGUGAAGAAGUAAUUCGUUAUGUAAAGCUCUAUCAGCAGGGAAGAAAAUGACGGUACCUGUGGAAGAAGCCCAGGCUAACUACGUGCCAGCAGCCCCGGUACUACGUCGGGGGCAAGCGUUAUCCGGAUUUACUGGGUGUAAAGGGAGCGUAGACGGGAGUGCAAGUCUGGAGGGAAAGGCGGGGGCUCAACCCCCGGACUGCUCUGGAAACUGUACGGCUGGAGUGCAAGAGAGGUAGGUGGAAUUCCUAGUGUAGCGGUGAAAUGCGUAGAUAUUAGGAGGAACACCAGUGGCGAAGGCGGCUUACUGGACUGUAACUGACGUUGAGGCUCGAAAGCGUGGGGAGCAAACAGGAUUAGAUACCCCAGUAGUC